GGAAGGUCUGAUGAUGGCCCCCAUAAGGCUUUAGGGAAAUAUGCUUAUGAAUAUAUAUAUGACAUCACUGGAAUAUGUUUUAUACUACAUAUGCCAUGUAACAUAUCUAUGUAAAGAUUAUGAUCUACUGAAUCUAUUAAUCCUACUUGUACACAUUUAUC